rnacentral:tRNA from 1 species
GGAUGUGGCUCAGUGGAAGAGCACAUGCUUAGCAUAUGUGAAAUCCUGAGUUCAAUCCCCAGCACCA